rnacentral:tRNA from 1 species
GUAUCAAUAGCUUAACGGAAAAGCAAUUGGUUGUUAACUAAUUUAUUAUCGGUUCGACUCCGAUUUGUUACU